GGACUACUGGGGUAUCUAAUCCCGUUUGCUCCCCUGGCUUUCGCGCCUCAGCGUCAGUAAGGGUCCAGUGCGCCGCUUUCGCCGCCGGCGUUCCUUCUGAUAUCAACGCAUUUCACCGCUCCACCAGAAGUUCCGCGCACCCCUACCCCCCUCGAGCCGACUGGUAUCGGAGGCCCUUCCGCCGUUGAGCGGCGGGAUUUCACCCCCGACCUUGCCGGCCGCCUACGCGCCCUUUAAGCCCAGUGAUUCCGAACAACGUUCGCACGGUUCGUCUUACCGCGGCGGCUGGCAC
rnacentral:rRNA from 3 species